UCAUCAGACAAAAGAGAGAAGAACAGCCAAACACCCCCUGUCUACAUCUGCCUCACGUCCCUCUCACCUUCACCCUCUCCUUUUCCCUCUCUCGUUCGGCGUAGCCCAGCAGCAAAACUGACGGUCGGGGCUGGCGGUGGUCUCCUUCCGGCGAACAGAGUGACGGCUUUUCCCUGUUCUCCACCCUAGCGACCUCUCUCCGAUGGUGGAGUAGCAGAUCUGGCAGCAAUAGUGGACGUCGACUGGUGGUGAGCUCGGACAACGGCGGUCUCCGUUCCUUUCCGGUGGCCGUAGCAGUGUCGGCUUCCCCUUCUUUGCAGCAGCGGCAGUUUCUCUUCGCCGGCAAUGGCCUUCCUCUCGGCGGCAUGGACUGGUCCCCGACGAGAAGAACCCGUAGGUUUCUUGUUAAAGUAGUUAGCUCGGGAGUGAGCUCAAGAAUCGGAUGCUUGGCUUUGGAAGCUUAGCUUGAGGUAAGUUCCUAGCUCGGGAGUGAGCUCAAGAAUCGGAUGCUUGGCUUUGGAAGCUUAGCUUGAGGAUUUAAAGUUGUUGCUAGUUUGAGAGUGCGGCGUAAAGCUCGUAGUCUUGGAUUUGAGUUUGGUAUAACUGGUUUAGUCUUAGAACUUGAAUUGUUAUUGUAGUUAAUUUGUGAUUUGGAAAGUGGAAUGUUGUAAUAUGGAUUUGUUGAUAGAAACCUUUUUAGCCUCUGCGUUUGGGCUUAGUUGGCUGCCCAAGCGUGGCAAUAGCACCCCAAUGGUUUAGAUUUUGAUUUUGCUUCCGCAUUUGUAUUUAGUUGUUUAGUAAGAAAAGUCUUUUAUUUUGGUUUUUAA